rnacentral:rRNA from 1 species
GACGAACGCUGGCGGCGCGCCUUACGCAUGCAAGUCGUACGCCGAGCUUCGGCUCGGAGUGGCGGACGGCUGAGUAACGCGUAGGCAACCUAUCCCACAGCGGGGGAUAACCCGUUGAAAGACGGGCUAAUACCAUAUUCGCUCCUGGGGUGAAAUUCCCCUGGAGGAAAGUCGCAAGGCGCUGAGGGAGGGGCCUGCGUCCUAUCAGGUAGUUGGUGAGGUAACGGCUCACCAAGCCGGCGACGGGUAGCUGGUCUGAGAGGACGACCAGCCAGACGGGGACUGAGACACGGCCCCGACUCCUACGGGAGGCAGCAGCGAGGAAUCUUGGGCAAUGGGCGAAAGCCUGACCCAGCGACGCCGCGUGGGGGAAGAAGGCCUUCGGGUCGUAAACCCCUUUUGCCAGGGAAGAAGCUCUGACGGUACCUGGCGAAUAAGCCACGGCUAACUACGUG